AACGAACGCUGGCGGCAGGCCUAACACAUGCAAGUCGAGCGGACCCUUCGGGGUUAGCGGCGGACGGGUGAGUAACGCGUGGGAAUAUGCCCUUCUCUACGGAAUAGUCCUGGGAAACUGGGGGUAAUACCGUAUACGCCCUUUGGGGGAAAGAUUUAUCGGGGAAGGAUUAGCCCGCGUUGGAUUAGGUAGUUGGUGGGGUAAUGGCCUACCAAGCCGACGAUCCAUAGCUGGUUUGAGAGGAUGAUCAGCCACACUGGGACUGAGACACGGCCCAGACUCCUACGGGAGGCAGCAGUGGGGAAUCUUAGACAAUGGGGGGAACCCUGAUCGAGCCAUGCCGCGUGAGUGAUGAAGGCCAUAGGGUUGUAAAGCUCUUUCAGCUGGGAAGAUAAUGACGGUACCAGCAGAAGAAGCACCGGCUAACUCCGUG
rnacentral:rRNA from 1 species